AACGCACGAGACCUGCGGACCUGCGGAAGGAUCAUUAACAAAUAAUUUAUCCUUAUCCACCUUGUGUGAACCAUUGAAACGUCCGUUGGCAGGUUUGGGAUGCGAAUUUUGCAUCAUCGAAGAGUGUUCUUCGGCCUGCCAAUUUUAUUCGUCUCUACUCGUCUAUUGUAACCUUCAGACUUAAAAUUUUAACAUUUAAUAAAAUACAACUUUUAACAAUGGAUCUCUAGAUCGGAAGAG
rnacentral:misc_RNA from 1 species